UGCCACAGCCAUAAUCACCCUGCAGCCCAAGACCAGUUGCCCACUGAAGCUAAGCAGGGUUGAGCCUGGUCAGUACCUGGAUGGGAGACCUCCUGGGAAAACUAGGUUGCUGUUGGAA
ensembl:rRNA 5S_rRNA 5S ribosomal RNA